rnacentral:tRNA from 1 species
ACCUCAGUGGCUUAAAGGCUUAGGACGCUUGCCCGAAAAACAAGAGAUCCGAGUUCGAUUCCUGGCCGAGGUA